AUUGAACGCUGGCGGCAGGCCUAACACAUGCAAGUCGAGCGGAUGAAGGGAGCUUGCUCAUGGAUUCAGCGGCGGACGGGUGAGUAAUUCCUAGGAAUCUGCCUGGUAGUGGGGGAUAACGUCCGGAAACGGGCGCUAAUACCGCAUACGUCCUGAGGUAGAAAGUGGGGGAUCUUCGGACCUCACGCUAUCAGCUGAGCCUAGGUCGGAUUAGCUAGUUGGUGGGGUAAAGGCCUACCAAGGCGACGAUCCGUAACUGGUCUGAGAGGAUGACCAGUCAAACUGGAACUGAGACACGGUCCAGACUCCUACGGGAGGCAGCAGUGGGGAAUAUUGGACAAUGGGCGAAAGCCUGAUCCAGCCAUGGCGCGUGUGUGAAGAAGGUCUUCGGAUUGUAAAGCACUUUAAGUUGGGAGGAAGGGCAGUAAGUUAAUACCUGGCUGUUUUGACGUUACCAACAGAAUAAGCACCGGCUAAAUUCGUG
rnacentral:rRNA from 1 species